GGCACAGGUGGCAAAGAUUUCGGAACCUUCCGUAGAACAGAGUGUUUCAAGUGAACCUAUUGAUAUAAAUGACUUGAGAAAGAAAAAACCUCAUAUUUCAUUCAAACCAUUUUUUGAGACUCCUUUCACAGAGAAAUUAGAAAAGAUCUUGGACAAGUCGAGCAAAGAUCUGAAAUCGCCUGAUGGCCUCAAAAAACAAACAAGACAUGGCUUUCAACAGAAUGCUUCGAGGGAAAUACAGGAAGAAACUCUUACACAUUCACCAGAGCCAGAGAAAAUAUCUAAACAGCAAAUUUUAACUAAAACUCCUGCAAGCAAAGUCAGUGAACAUGGUUUAGAGUUACCACCAAAAACCUGUCCAGGAUUUCAUCGGCA